CAUUGUUCAGGUGGAGAAACUAAGGCCAGCGAGCUUACAGGUCACAUAACCAGCAAGAGGCAGGGUCUAGCCCGGCACACUUCUCAACUCCAACCUCCACCACCAAUACCCCUGCAGAUUUCACAGCCACUGUAUUGUCUCCAAGCCAAGGUGGUUCUCUGUAAAUUAGGGAUGACCUCAAGCAGGGUCCAGGUGACUGUGUCCAGCUAGUUCUGGAGACAGGUGGGAAGAGAGAAGCCAGAGAGGGGAGGGAAGGUGGCCCUCAGUCUGUGCCAAGGGAGGUGGGAAGGGGGAGGAAUUCUUGGCAGCCCCUUCUCACUGUGCUCCUACGCUGAGCAGUACUUCGGAGCAGGGACUCGGCUCACUGUGCUAGGUAAGAGGGUUGCUCCAGGUGGAGGGAGGACGGGCUGCCCAGCCCUGAGGAUCCCCUGAACGCUAGCUUUCAGGGAGUGGACUUUGAACCCUCCUGGGCUGCACUCAGGGAAGGCCAAGUCGGUGCCUUAGUCCCCAGGGCUGUGUGAACACCGGACAGCUGUAUUUUGGGGAAGGUUCCAAGCUGACUGUGCCGGGUAAGGAGGGCAGCUGGGGUCCCAGAGUGCUCCCUGGAGCGGGAUGGAGAGAGGUGGGCAGCUCCCAGCUCCAUUUGAGGCUGUGCUCAGUGUUGGCUGGGCCAGGGCUGAAUCAGGGGCGUCAGGAGAGGACAGCGCUGGGUUUUUGUCCUGGGCCUCGGGGCGGUGAGCAGACACUGUUUUUCGGCGGGGGAACCAGGCUGUCUGUGCUAGGUGAGCCCAGACGCCAGGGACCCUGAGGAAUGCCCUGCGGGUUUCUGUGCGGGGUUGGGGGGCUGUGAACAAGAGACCCAGUACUUCGGGCCGGGCACGCGGCUCCUGGUGCUAGAGGACCUGAGCCAGGUCAAACCACCCAAGGUGGCUGUGUCGAGCCAUCGGAAGCAGAGACUCCCGACCCAGAAGGCCAGCUGUGUGCCUGGCCACAGGCUUCUACCCCGACCACGUGGAGCUGAGCUGGUGGGUGAACGGGAAGGAGGUCCAGAGCGGGGUCAGCACGGACCGCGAGCCCUACAGGAGGACCCCAGCCUCAGUGACUCACCUACUGUCUGAGCAGCGGCUGAGGGCUCCGCUACCUUUGGCACAACCCCGCAACCCACUUCCGCUGCCAAGUCCACUUCCACGGGCUCACGGACAAGGACCGGGACCAGUGGAAGGAGGACUGGCCCAUGCCCGUCUCCCAGAACGUCAGUGCCGAGGCCUGGGGCCGAGCAGACUGUGGCUUCACCUCGGUGUCCUAUCAGCAAGGGGUCCUGUCUGCCACCCUCCUCUAUGAGAUCCUUCUGGGGAAGGCCACCCUGUAUGCUGUGCUGGUCAGCGCCCUCGUGCUCAUGGCCAUGGUAAGGGGGAGGGCAGGAUACGGCAGAUGAGUGAAGCGAGAGGGUGGAACACCCUGCACGGGAACUGAAGGGAAUCUCGGAUUGACAUCCCAGCAUCUCAGUGGAAUUAUAAUGGGACUGCCAGUCUGUGGAGAAAGUCCUGGGAUUAUUACAGAACGUAGCUUUAGAGGAUGGGAAAAGUCAACCUGCCCGGCCCAAAAUCAGGCCCCAGAUUCAGCCUCCUCUGACCCCCUCCUGCUGUUCCGUGGCCCCUGCCACCCUGACAGUGUCCUCUCUUCCUCAGGUUAAGAAAAAGGAUUCCUGAGACCAGCUCCAAAUAUGCACCCUGAGUUGUUCUUUAUCCUCGCGCUGGAUUCUCUUUCACAUGUAUCCAGUCAGUGUUCUUAGAGUUUCUCUCUCUCCACUCCUUAUCUCCUUCCUGCAGGGAUGUUGUCCCGUCUCUCAGCCUCCCUGCAAAGUGAGCUCAACACAGAAUUUGAAAUAGACUAAACCAAUAAAAGUGUCCCGGCAGGCCUGGCUGUGUCUCAGCAGUGUCAGUGGGGUUUGCUGAUCUACCUUCUGAUUUGGGGAACGUGACUAACCCUCCUCCCUGGCCAAUACUACUUCCUUCUUUCCUCCUGAUGGAGGAUGGUCUUCCAUCUUCUCUUAUUUCAGAAUUUUGGGCAUAAGAUUUAGUUCUACUCUGC
ensembl:lncRNA